rnacentral:rRNA from 1 species
UACGUAGGGGGCAAGCGUUGUCCGGAAUCAUUGGGCGUAAAGAGCGUGUAGGCGGUCCGUUAAGUCGGCUGUGAAAGUCCAAGGCUCAACCUUGGGAUGCCGGUCGAUACUGCCGGACUAGAGUUCGGAAGAGGCGAGUGGAAUUCCUGGUGUAGCGGUGGAAUGCGCAGAUAUCAGGAGGAACACCAAUAGCGAAGGCAGCUCGCUGGGACGGUACUGACGCUGAGGUGCGAAAGCGUGGGGGAGCAAACAGG